rnacentral:rRNA from 1 species
CAGCCGCCACGGUAAUACGAAGGGUGCAAGCGUUACUCGGAAUUACUGGGCGUAAAGCGUGCGUAGGUGGUGGUUUAAGUCCGUUGUGAAAGCCCUGGGCUCAACCUGGGAAUUGCAGUGGAUACUGGAUCACUAGAGUGUGGUAGAGGAUAGUGGAAUUUCCGGCGUAGCAGUGAAAUGCGUAGAGAUCGGAAGGAACAUCUGUGGCGAAGGCGACUAUCUGGGCCAACACUGACACUGAGGCACGAAAGCGUGGGGAGCAAACAGGAUUAGAUACCCCAGUAGUCCCUGUCUCUUAUAA